UACAGGGGGUGCAAACGUUGCUCGGAAUCAUUGGGCGUAAAGCGCACGUAGGCGGUCUGUUAUGUCGGAUGUGAAAGCCCUCGGCUUAACCGGGGAAGUGCAUCCGAAACUGGCGAGCUUGAGUACUAAAGAGGGUCGCGGAAUUCAUGGUGUAGCAGUGAAAUGCGUAGAGAUCAUGAGGAAGACCAGUGGCGAAGGCGGGUCUCUGGACAGUUCCUGACACUGAGGCACGAAGGCCAGGGGAGCAAACGGG
rnacentral:rRNA from 1 species